rnacentral:rRNA from 1 species
UAAACUCAAAGGAAUUGACGGGGGCCCGCACAAGCGGCGGAGCAUGCGGAUUAAUUCGAUGCAACGCGAAGAACCUUACCUGGGUUCAACUACUACCGGAAAGCGCUAGAGAUAGUGCCCCUUUUUGUCGGUAGAUAGGUGGUGCAUGGCUGUCGUCAGCUCGUGUCGUGAGAUGUUGGGUUAAGUCCCGCAACGAGCGCAACCCUCGUCUGUUGUUGCCAGCACGUUAUGGUGGGGACUCAACAGAGACUGCCGGGGUCAACUCGGAGGAAG